CUACGAUCAUCACCUUUGAUUCCGAGUCAUAACCUUAAACAGAACCAUUUUUUUGGGUUUCAGUGGUCUAGCCAGAACCAAUUUAGGACUCUCAAGGUGCAUGCCCAAGUUAAUGAGGUUGCCGUCGAGAAAUCGCUGAAUUCUGCACCAAUCAUAGAGAUAACAUCAGAAGAAAAAGGGAA